GUGAGGAAUUUUCCGCAAUGGGCGAAAGCCUGACGGAGCAAUGCCGCGUGAAGGAUGAAGGCCUAUGGGUUGUAAACUUCUUUUCUUAGAGAAGAAUAUUGACGGUAUCUGAGGAAUAAGCAUCGGCUAACUCUGUGCCAGCAGCCGCGGUAAGACAGAGGAUGCAAGCGUUAUCCGGAAUGAUUGGGCGUAAAGCGUCUGUAGGUGGCUUCAAAAGUCUCCUGUCAAAGAUCAGGGCUUAACCCGGGGCCGGCAGGAGAAACCCUGAGGCUAGAGUUUGGUAGGGGCAGAGGGAAUUCCCGGUGGAGCGGUGAAAUGCGUAGAGAUCGGGAGGAACACCAAAGGCGAAAGCACUCUGCUGGGCCACAACUGACACUGAGAGACGAAAGCGAGGGGAGCAAAAGGGAUUAGAAACCCCGGUAGUCC
rnacentral:rRNA from 1 species